UUAUGACGUACUUGUACUGAUUGAGAUUUUAACACGAAGUGAGUGGCGAACGGGUGAGUAACACGUGGGUAACCUGCCCAGAAGUAGGGGAUAACACCUGGAAACAGAUGCUAAUACCGUAUAACAGAGAAAACCGCAUGGUUUUCUUUUAAAAGAUGGCUCUGCUAUCACUUCUGGAUGGACCCGCGGCGUAUUAGCUAGUUGGUGAGGUAAAGGCUCACCAAGGCAGUGAUACGUAGCCGACCUGAGAGGGUAAUCGGCCACAUUGGGACUGAGACACGGCCCAGACUCCUACGGGAGGCAGCAGUAGGGAAUCUUCCACAAUGGACGCAAGUCUGAUGGAGCAACGCCGCGUGAGUGAAGAAGGGUUUCGGCUCGUAAAGCUCUGUUGUUAAAGAAGAACGUGGGUAAGAGUAACUGUUUACCCAGUGACGGUAUUUAACCAGAAAGCCACGGCUAACUACGUGCCAGCAGCCGCGGUAAUACGUAGGUGGCAAGCGUUAUCCGGAUUUAUUGGGCGUAAAGCGAGCGCAG
rnacentral:rRNA from 1 species